rnacentral:rRNA from 1 species
AUGAAUUGUUUUUCAAGUGAUCGGUUAUCCAUCAUCUAUACCAGCUACCACGCACGAUCCCAUAGGAAUGAUUUCAUCGCCCUAAGAAGCAGAACAUGCCAUCACCUACAGCCCUUUCCUCUGCCGGGACUUUCACAUAAUGAAAACGGUCGACAUUAUCGUGUGCUCGACAUUAGUUUCCCUGGUGUAUAUCCUAGAGUACUCCUAUGGCCGAUCUGUCACCCAUACACGAAGGCCUUAACAAUUCCAGAUCUUAAGGGUGUACCAACACAUUGUUUUGGUGCUCCCUAUAAGUUUCUCCAUCCCUCCUUCCACAUGUUUUUAGCAAGCAUUUCCACUUCAAAGAUGAAUCUUCUUGGAUUGAUCAAGCAAACACAUGCUCUAAUUCAGACGGUCUUUCUAGCAUUGUCAUGUAAUUAG